ensembl:snoRNA
AAAACCCUGUUCACUUGGCCAAAUGGAUUUACGUCUUUAUUGCUCAUUAAUUGGGGCAAAGGAAGUAUCAUUUUAAAACUCAAGCAAAUUGAGUGUCUUGUAUCCUGUCAGAGGAAAGAAAU